rnacentral:ncRNA from 1 species
AUAAAAAUGAUUUGUAACCAAAAUUUUAUUUUAGUUUAAAAAAUUGGUAAUUAUUUUUUUUACAUGUUAAUUUGAGUAUUUAAUGGCGUAGUUUUAAAUGGGCUAUGUAAUUUAUUAUAUUUGCAGUAUUUAAUUUUAUCAAUUAAGGAAACUUAGAGUUAGAAAUUUAUUUAAAUAUUAACAUAAUUUGUGCCAGCAGUUGCGGUUAUACAAAUAAUAUAAUUAAUUUUUUUUAAUUUGUAAUUAAUUUUUUUAUUAAAUUUAUUAUUUAUUAUAUUUUAUUAAGUGAAAUUUUAAAAUGUUAAAAUGUAGAUAUUGGAUUGUGAAGUUAUUAAAUUUUAUAAAAAACUAGGAUUAGAUACCCUAUUAUUAAAGUGUAAAAUUUUAAAUUAAAUUAUUAAUAGAGAUAUAGGCUUUAAAGUUAAAAAAUUUGGCGGUAUUUUAAUCUAUUCAGAGGAACCUGUCCUGUAAUUGAUAUUCCACGAUUAAAUAAACUUGAUUUAGUAAUUUGUAUAUCGUCGUAGUUGAAUAUUUUAAAAGAAAUUUAAUAUUCAUAAAUUUAUUGGUAGAAAGAAAAUCAGAUCAAGAUGCAGUUUAUGUUUAAGUAGAGAUGGGUUACAUUAAAUUUUAAUUUUUGGAUUUUAUUUGUUAUAGGUAAAUGAAAGUGGAUUUGAUAGUAAUUAGUUUUAUAUUAAAUUAAUGAUUUUAGCUCUAAAAUAUGCACAUAUCGCCCGUCGCUCUCAUUUAAUUUGAGAUAAGUCGUAACAAAGUAAAUGUACUGGAAAGUGUAUUUAGAUAG